AGUGAACGCUGGCGGCGUGCCUAAUACAUGCAAGUCGAACGGAGUGGCGCACGGGCGAGUAAUGUAUAGCUAAUCUGCCCUACACUAGAGGACAACAGUUGGCAACGACUGCUAAUACUCUAUAGUGUAGGUUGAGGUUAUUUGGUCUCAGCUAGUUGGUGAGGUAAUGGCUCACCAAGGCUAUGACGAAUAACUGGUUGGAGGGGAUGAUCAGUCGCACUGGAACUGAGACACGGUCGAGGCUCCUACGAGAGGCAGCAGUAGGGAAUAUUGCUCAAUGGGUGAAGCCCUGAAGCAGCGACGGCGCGUGGAGGAUGACACUUUUCGGAGCGUAAACUCCUUUUGUUAGGGAAGCGGUACCUGACGAAUAAGCACCGGCUAACUCCGUGCCAGCAGCCGCGGUAAUAC
rnacentral:rRNA from 1 species